GACGAACGCUGGCGGCGUGCUUAACACAUGCAAGUCGAACGGAAAGGCCCUGCUUUUGUGGGGUGCUCGAGUGGCGAACGGGUGAGUAACACGUGAGUAACCUGCCCUUGACUUUGGGAUAACUUCAGGAAACUGGGGCUAAUACCGGAUAGGAGCUCCUGCUGCAUGGUGGGGGUUGGAAAGUUUCGGCGGUUGGGGAUGGACUCGCGGCUUAUCAGCUUGUUGGUGGGGUAGUGGCUUACCAAGGCUUUGACGGGUAGCCGGCCUGAGAGGGUGACCGGCCACAUUGGGACUGAGAUACGGCCAAGACUACUACGGGAGGCAGCAGUGGGGAAUAUUGCACAAUGGGCGGAAGCCUGAUGCAGCAACGCCGCGUGCGGGAUGACGGCCUUCGGGUUGUAAACCGCUUUCGCCUGUGACGAAGCGUGAGUGACGGUAAUGGGUAAAGAAGCACCGGCUAACUACGUG
rnacentral:rRNA from 1 species